AAUGGAUCGAUGAUGUUUUUUUGAAACUGCGUUAUCUAUCUGUAACUUCCUAAAUGGAAUUGAAGAUAAUGAUAAAAUUCUGAGAUCCAAU